rnacentral:rRNA from 1 species
CCUACGGGAGGCUGCAGUGGGGAAUAUUGCACAAUGGGCGAAAGCCUGAUGCAGCAACGCCGCGUGAAGGAAGAAGGGUUUCGGCUCGUAAACUUCUUUUUACCGGGGCGAAAGAAAUGCCGGUACCUGAAUAAGAAGCCCCGGCUAACUACGUGCCAGCAGCCGCGGUAAUCCGGAGGGGGCAAGCUUUAUCCGGAAUUGAUGGGUGUAAAGGGUGAGUAGGCGGCAUGGUAAGCCAGAUGUGAAAGCCUUGGGCUUAACCCGAGGAUUGCCUUUGGAACUGGCAAGCUAGAGUACAGGAGAGGAAAGCGGAAUUCCUUGUGUAGCGGUGAAA